GACGAACGCUGGCGGCGUGCUUAACACAUGCAAGUCGAACCGAAAGGCUCCAGCUUGCUGGAGUACUCGAGUGGCGAACGGGUGAGUAACACGUGGGUAAUCUGCCCUGCACUCUGGGAUAAGCCUGGGAAACUGGGUCUAAUACUGGAUAUGACCUUUCUCCUUAUGGGGUUUGGUGGAAAGUUUUUCGGUGUAGGAUGAGCCCGCGGCCUAUCAGCUUGUUGGUGGGGUGAUGGCCUACCAAGGCGACGACGGGUAGCCGGCCUGAGAGGGUGAUCGGCCACAUUGGGACUGAGAUACGGCCCAGACUCCUACGGGAGGCAGCAGUAGGGAAUAUUGCACAAUGGGCGGAAGCCUGAUGCAGCGACGCCGCGUGAGGGAUGACGGCCUUCGGGUUGUAAACCUCUUUCAGCAGGGACGAAGCGUAAGUGACGGUACCUGCAGAAGAAGCACCGGCUAACUAUGUG
rnacentral:rRNA from 1 species